rnacentral:misc_RNA from 3 species
AACGCACAUUGCGCCCCCCGGUAUUCCGAGGGGCAUGCCUGUUCGAGCGUCAUAACAACCCCUCAAGCCUAGCUUGGUCUUGGGGCCUGCCCGCUGGGCGGCCCUUAAACACAGUGGCGGUGCCGUCGUGCUCUACGCGUAGUAACUCUUCUCGCGACAGGGCGCUGACGGGACCUGCCGAAGCUCCAUCUCUCGGUUGACCUCGGAUCAGGUAGGGAUACCCGCUGAACUUAA